GCUCCGGUGGCCUAGUGGUUAGAGCGUCCGCCUCGGAUGCGGGAGUUCGCGGGUUCGUAAUCAGGCCCCAGGCC